rnacentral:rRNA from 1 species
CCUACGGGAGGCAGCAGUGGGGAAUUUUGGACAAUGGGGGCAACCCUGAUCCAGCCAUGCCGCGUGCGGGAAGAAGGCCUUCGGGUUGUAAACCGCUUUUGUCAGGGAAGAAAUCCUUUGAACUAAUACUUCGGAGGGAUGACGGUACCUGAAGAAUAAGCACCGGCUAACUACGUGCCAGCAGCCGCGGUAAUACGUAGGGUGCAAGCGUUAAUCGGAAUUACUGGGCGUAAAGCGUGCGCAGGCGGUUAUGCAAGACAGAUGUGAAGUCCCCGGGCUCAACCUGGGAACUGCAUUUGUGACUGCAUGGCUAGAGUACGGUAGAGGGGGAUGGAAUUCCACGUGUAGCAGUGAAAUGCGUAGAUAUGUGGAGGAACACCGAUGGCGAAGGCAAUCCCCUGGACCUGUACUGACGCUCAUGCACGAAAGCGUGGGGAGCAAACAGGAUUAGAUACCCUGGUAGUCCACGCCCUAAACGAUGUCAACUGGUUGUUGGGAGGGUUUCUUCUCAGUAACGUAGCUAACGCGUGAAGUUGACCGCCUGGGGAGUACGGCCGCAAGGUUGAAACGUCAAAGGAAUUGACGG